GUUAACUCUCCUGCAAUCUGUCACAUUAUAGAAUUAAAAGAUCUGGACCAUCUGGACUUUCUGCAGAAUAUCACUUUGAUCUACCAUAUGGAUGACAUCACAUUAAUAAGACCAGAUAAAUAAGUGGCAAGUAUAUUGGAAGCUAUGGUAAUACCCAUUUGCUGCAAAGGAUUGAUUAUAAACUCUACAUAGAUUCAAAUGAGCACCACAUCAAUGACAUUUUUAGGUCUCCUGUGGUCUGUGGCAUACCAGGAAAUUCUUUCCAAAGUGGAGAACAAAUUAUUGCAUCUUGUCCCUAUCACCACUAAGAAGAAAGCAUGACACCUAGGAGUCCUCUCAAAUUUCUGGAGUCAGGAUAUUCCACACUUGGGAAUACUCACCAAACUCUUCUCCCACGUUAUUUGGAAGGCUAGCAGCUUUGAGUGGGGCUUACAGCAAAAAAGAUUCCUGCAGCAGGUCCAGGCUACAGUGCAAGAAAAUCGUAUAGUACUAGAGUUAUCUGUGAUUGGAAAAAACAUCAUGAGGAGUUUAUGACAAGACCACGCAGGAGAAUCACAAUGUAGAUACCUAUAUGUCUGGAGCGAAGUCUCCCCAUCUAUAGUGGCUAUUUUGGGGAUUCCUUACUACCAGCAGACAGAGGAAGAAAAGUACGAAGCUUAAUUCACAGGUAGAUCAGUUUGGUAAAUAGAUGCAAACGAAAGUCGGACAAUAGCUCAACUACAGCCUCAUGCAAGGUGAAUGGAAGAAAGGAAUGAGGGAAAAUUUUCCCAAGGUCAAACCUUGGAUGGCAAAGCUAGUCAACUAUUUGUGAGGAAGAAGUGGUCCAAGCUGGCAUUAUAGAGAAGUAGCAACCAUUGAUUGAAUGCAAUUGGAAAUAACAAGGAUACCAACAUGUUGGAAGGCUGACAUCUUGUCAGCAUGGAAUGUUUUCUUGUUGACUUUUUCCUGAAGUUAACGAAAAUAAUAUCACUCAAAAGUACUUCAUAUAUUUAACAUAGUGGUAUUCUUCUAAGUCAAGCUUUGGUGAAAACAUCACUUUGAAAAAUGAUGAAGAAGGAGAGACUUCUGGCAUGAUGGCUUGAAAAGCUUGGCAGACCUGCCUUCCAGAGAAACUGGUAAAAAUUAUAAAUAAAAACAACCAUUUAAAAUAUCUGGAAGUGGUUCUAAGGACAUACAGCAGAUCAAGAAACAUUUAUUCAAGAAAAUCUAAAAUUCAUCAAGAACAGCAUGAGGCUGUGGUAUUUGAAACAAGACCUGCUCACCACCUCCCACCUCCUAACUCAGCAAGAUGGAAACUCCACUUGAGGCUGGUGCAUCAAAGUACAUGGGGCUUUCUCUCCCCUCAGCUCCCAUUUAGAGGGCUAUCUUCCAUGAAGGCAAAACAUCUGCAUUUCUCAUUCUGCCCCUGGCUACCUGUUGCUGAGGCUAAAUUCAGGGUGAAUGUGGUGGGAGGUGGGACUCUCUUCUCCAGCCCAACUCCUACUCAUGGAACAGAGGCUCUAGCUUAGACAUGAUACUGCUGACAACACUGGGACCUCAAUUGCCCUGGCCCAGCUCAUAAAGUGGUGAUUUUGUUUUAGGAGAGGUAAGCUGAGAAGAUAUGAGGCUACUGUAUCCCCUCCACUGAGGUCUCAUCUGCUAAAGCAGGGGUGUGACUCAGAGAGAAGCAUGCUAUUGUCCCCAACCCCUAGUGCCAUCGCUGAGGCUCAGAAAUUUUGCCUGGGGACAGAAGAGGCCAUAGAAGAUAUAGUUUCUAAUUUCCUUCAGAAGGAAUUGACUUCAUUUGCAACAGAGUAUGAAUAAGUUCAAGCCUAAAGACACUCUUAAAAAUAGUGAAGGCUUUGGUGAAAGGAAAUUAAGAGGAGAUUGAUAUAUUUAUUGGACAAAUACAGGUUACAACUAUAAGCCACCUAGAUUGCCCUAAAGAACUGGGGAAAGAGACAGCUGGAGGGAGUUGCCUGAGGUCAGAACAAAUCUCAACACUGAUUCAGGAACAAGCUCUUCAAAGAAGCUCAAAUUUUAUUGGCUUAGUGUGUGGAGCAAAUCAUUCCCCAAGAAGUUUUUGCAAAUCAUAGGACAAUCAGUGAAGCUUAAAAUCUGUGUGGGGUGCUAAAAAGAGACAAGACAAAGAGAACCAAGUCUGUGAGAAUUGGUAAAGGUGCUUUCUUAGUCUCAUGUGCAGACACUGACACAGAGAUUCAAGGAAAAUAAAGAAACAAGGAAAUAUGUUCCAAAUAAAAGAACAAGUUAAAUCUCCAGAACCCAACCCUAAUGAAAUACAUUAUGUGAUUUACAUCACAGAGAAUCCAAAAUAAUUGUCAUAAAGAUGUUUGCCAAUCAGGAAAUCAAUGUAUGAACAAAGUGAGAAUUUCAACAGAGAGAUAGAAAAUGUCAAAAAGUACCAAACAGAAAUUAUAGAGCUGAAGAAUAUAAUUAUUGAACUAAAAAAUUCAAUAGAAAGUUUCAACAUCAGACUGGAUGGAUCAGAAGAAAGGAUCAACAAACUUGAAGACAGAUCAUUGGAAGUCAUCUAGUUAGAGGAGCAAAAAAGAAAAAAGAAUUUAAAAAAAGAGUGAAAAUAGUUUACCAAGCUUAAGGGAGAUAAUCAAAUGGACCAAUAUGCACAUUAUGUAUGCCCCCAAAGGAUAAGAGAGAUAUAAAGGACUGGAAAGCUUAUUUAAAGAACAAUGGCUGGGGGCCAGCCCAGUGGCAUAGCAGUUAAGUUCACACGUUGUGCUUUGGUG